rnacentral:rRNA from 1 species
UGGGGAAUAUUGCGCAAUGGGGGGAACCCUGACGCAGCCAUGCCGCGUGAAUGAAGAAGGCCCUAGGGUUGUAAAGUUCUUUCGGCAUUGAGGAAGGUUGAUGUGUUAAUAGCACAUCAAAUUGACGUUAAAUACAGAAGAAGCACCGGCUAACUCCGUGCCAGCAGCCGCGGUAAUACGGAGGGUGCGAGCGUUAAUCGGAAUAACUGGGCGUAAAGGGCACGCAGGCGGUUAUUUAAGUGAGGUGUGAAAGCCCCGGGCUUAACCUGGGAAUUGCAUUUCAGACUGGGUAACUAGAGUACUUUAGGGAGGGGUAGAAUUCCACGUGUAGCGGUGAAAUGCGUAGAGAUGUGGAGGAAUACCGAAGGCGAAGGCAGCCCCUUGGGAAUGUACUGACGCUCAUGUGCGAAAGCGUGGGGAGCAAACAGGAUUAGAUACCCUGGUAGUCCACGCUGUAAACGCUGUCGAUUUGGGGGUUGGGGUUUAACUCUGGCGCCCGUAGCUAACGUGAUAAAUCGACCGCCUGGGGAGUACGGCCGCAAGGUUA